rnacentral:rRNA from 1 species
AGUGAACGCUGGCGGUAGGCCUAACACAUGCAAGUCGAACGGCAGCACAGGAGAGCUUGCUCUCUGGGUGGCGAGUGGCGGACGGGUGAGGAAUACAUCGGAAUCUACUUUUUCGUGGGGGAUAACGUAGGGAAACUUACGCUAAUACCGCAUACGACCUACGGGUGAAAGCAGGGGAUCUUCGGAACUUGCGCGAUUGAAUGAGCCGAUGGCGGAUUAGCUAGUUGGCGGGGUAAAGGCCCACCAAGGAGACGAUCCGUAGCUGGUCUGAGAGGAUGAUCAGCCACACUGGAACUGAGACACGGUUCAGACUCCUACGGGAGGCAGCAGUGGGGAAUAUUGGACAAUGGGCGCAAGCCUGAUCCAGCCAUACCGCGUGGGUGAAGAAGGCCUUCGGGUUGUAAAGCCCUUUUGUUGGGAAAGAAAUCCAGCUGGUUAAUACCCGGUUGGGAUGACGGUACCCAAAGAAUAAGCACCGGCUAACUUCGUGCCAGCCGCCGCCGUAA